GAUGAACGCUGGCGGCGUGCCUAAUACAUGCAAGUCGAGCGAACAGACGAGGAGCUUGCUCCUCUGACGUUAGCGGCGGACGGGUGAGUAACACGUGGAUAACCUACCUAUAAGACUGGGAUAACUUCGGGAAACCGGAGCUAAUACCGGAUAAUAUAUUGAACCGCAUGGUUCAAUAGUGAAAGACGGUUUUGCUGUCACUUAUAGAUGGAUCCGCGCCGCAUUAGCUAGUUGGUAAGGUAACGGCUUACCAAGGCAACGAUGCGUAGCCGACCUGAGAGGGUGGUCGGCCACACUGGAACUGAGACGCGGUCCAGACUCCUACGGGAGGCAGCAGUAGGGAAUCUUCCGCAAUGGGCGAAAGCCUGACGGAGCACCGCCGCGUGAGUGAUGAAGGUCUUCGGAUCGUAAAACUCUGUUAUUAGGGAAGAACAAAUGUGUAAGUAACUAUGCACGUCUUGACGGUACCUAAUCAGAAAGCCACGGCUAACUACGUG
rnacentral:rRNA from 1 species